UACAGAGGUCUCAAGCGUUGUUCGGAUUCAUUGGGCGUAAAGGGUGCGUAGGUGGCGCCGUAAGUCGGGUGUGAAAUUUCGGAGCUUAACUCCGAAACUGCAUUCGAUACUGCGGUGCUUGAGGACUGGAGAGGAGACUGGAAUUUACGGUGUAGCGGUGAAAUGCGUAGAUAUCGAGAGGAACACCAGAGGUGAAGACGGGUUGCUGGGCUGACACUGACGCUGAGGCGCGAAAGCCAGGGGAGCAAACGGGG
rnacentral:rRNA from 1 species